UACAGAGGUCUCAAGCGUUGUUCGGAUUCAUUGGGCGUAAAGGGUGCGCAGGUGGCGCCGUAAGUCGGGUGUGAAAUUUCGAGGCUUAACCUCGAAACUGCAUUCGAUACUGCGGUGCUUGAGGACUGGAGAGGAGACUGGAAUUCAUGGUGUAGCAGUGAAAUGCGUAGAGAUCAUGAGGAAGACCAGUGGCGAAGGCGGGUCUCUGGACAGUUCCUGACACUGAGGCACGAAGGCCAGGGGAGCAAACGGG
rnacentral:rRNA from 1 species